CGGUGUUCAACUGGCGUGCCCGCGGGACGUCCUGCCGGUGAGCUCAGCCCGCGAGGGCGGCUCAACUUGAAAUCCCAUCGCGGUGCUCUUCAUUGAGUGUCGAGGUGGGCCGGCACGAUUACUUUUGAACAAAUUAGAGUGCUUAAAGCAGGCUAAAAUUUUGCCUGAAUACUGUGUAUAUGGAAUAAUGGAAUAGGACCUCGGUUCUAUUUUGUUGGUUUUCGGAACCCCGAGGUAAUGAUUAAUAGGAACGGAUGGGGGCAUUCGUAUUGCGACGUUAGAGGUGAAAUUCUUGGAUCGUCGCAAGACGGACUAAAGCGAAAGCAUUUGCCAAAAACGCUUUCAUUGAUCAAGAACGAAAGUUAGAGGUUCGAAGGCGAUCAGAUACCGCCCUAGUUCUAACCAUAAACUAUGCCAGCUAGCGAUCCGCCGACGUCCCUCUGAUGACUCGGCGGGCAGCUUCCGGGAAACCAAAGCUUUUGGGUUCCGGGGGAAGUAUGGUUGCAAAGCUGAAACUUAAAGGAAUUGACGGAAGGGCACCACCAGGAGUGGAGCCUGCGGCUUAAUUUGACUCAACACGGGAAACCUCACCAGGCCCAGACACUGGAAGGAUUGACAGAUUGAGAGCUCUUUCUUGAUUCAGUGGGUGGUGGUGCAUGGCCGUUCUUAGUCGGUGGAGCGAUUUGUCAGGUUAAUUCCGAUAACGGACGAGACUCUGACCUGAUAACUAGACGCACUUGCGGCAUCUCAAAGGUCCGCCGGCGGCUGGCUUUGCGCCCGUCGUCGCGCGCGAUUUUUACUGCCGGCGUACAAUAAAUUCUUCUUAGAGGGACAAGUGG
rnacentral:rRNA from 1 species